GAUUGUGGUAGUUCAGUGGUUAAGACAUUGGACUUCUGACCAGAAGGUCAUGAGCUCAAAUCCCAGCAUUACCA